UAAGUCCAAAGUUGACUUGGGGUAGAUCUCAGCUCCAGCCUAAGCAUCAGCCAUCUUAGGCUCUGGCUGCUUUCUUGGUUCGCCGGAUGGCCCAUAGUUGUAAUGCAGAAUUCAGCAGUGCCUCUUCUCAGCACACCCUGUGGUUGACACUGCCUUGUCGUGGUUUGUGUACUUUGUCAUCUAAGCUGAAGCACUCUUAUAGUAUGUGGCCCUGUGUUGCCCUAGCAGUAUAACAGGCAUAAAAGAUAACUGGGUUUGGGAAACUUGUGCAGGCAGAUGAUGUAUACAUACUUACAAAGAAAAAGUGUGAACCCUUGAAUACCUGAAGGCAUGAGAUAAUGCAAACCUCUCAUGCUCUAAAGCAAGCUAUGAAGGACAAAAAUAGUGAGACAAUACAACCAGUUAAGAACAUAGGCAGGUACUGUUUAUUUAACUUAUUUAACUAGUCUUUUACUUUUUUUUAUACUUUCGAUUGGAAUCAUCAAAUUUUUUCAGUGAUUUGGAUAUGGUAACAUACACAAAAUUCACUGUCAAAAACAGCAAUCGAAAAAUUUAACAUACACUGUGUACUUCCAGUGCAGUACAGGAGAUAUGCACAAGAAUAAA